GCUUGGAGCUAUGGCUAAACAUCAUCCAGAUUUGAUCUUUUGCCACAAGCAAGCUGGUGUUGCCAUUGGAAGACUAUGUGAAAAAUGUGAUGGCAAGUGUGUAAUCUGUGACUCCUACGUGCGUCCCUGCACCCUGGUGCGCAUAUGUGAUGAGUGUAACUAUGGCUCUUACCAGGGGCGCUGUGUGAUCUAUGGGGGCCCUGGAGUCUCUGAUGCUUAUUAUUGUAAGGAAUGCACCAUCCAGGAGAAAGAUAGAGAUGGCUGCCCCAAAAUUGUCAACUUGGGGAGCUCUAAGACAGACCUCUUCUAUGAAUGCAAAAAGUAUGGCUUCAAGAAAAGGUGAUUGGUGGGUGCCCCCUUCAUCCCCAUAUCAAGCUGCUGCAGCUGCCAAGAAAGAUGCCCACUACCACCAGCAGAGAGGGAGCAGAGCCCAGAGCAUCGCCAGAAUUGCCUGCUAGGGUCCCGGCACCUUGACAUCCCUUCUUUUCCCCUCAUCCAGACUUGUUAGGAAUGGAAAAGGAUUCUCCAUAGACCACCCUGGCAGACUAUGUAAGGGAAAAAUAGAUUGUUUUUUCUUGAAUUUGGGAAGCAAGGCUCUGUUCUCCACAUGGAUAUGUUCUCUCCACACCAAGACCUUCUAAAAA